rnacentral:lncRNA from 1 species
CUCUUCACACAUAACGAAAAAAAUGCAGGGGCAGAGAUCUCCUUGAUGAGUCCUCUUGGAGAAGCAAAUAGAAGAAAAGCUUCACCAUUUAUUUGAAUUCUGAAUGUCACAAUAGAUGCAUAAGAUUAGAUGCAUUUCCUCCAUUAUGGUCAAAAUUCAAUGGCUUAGAGCAUGCAAUCGACUGCCAAUCAGUUGAGCUGUUCAUACACGCUGGUCAUGUUCAGCCGAAUGUCCUUGAUCAUGUUCUCUAGCAUGACCAGUGAUUGCUCUCUAAUGAUCAUCUUACCUUAGCAUCUUUUUUAAAUAGAGAAUAUGAUUAGAUCAUCUACUUAUGUAGAAUAACAAUAUUUUUGUGUGAAACCAGGGAGGAGACGACGGAAUAGGAACACUACAAUCGGAUGAACAAAGAUUGGAAUACCUGUUAUCUCAUUCCUCUUUGAUAAUACAAAUAUUUAUAGAAUCUGAUCAUAAAACAGAUCGCUUUAUUCUUAGAAACUACAAGCUAAAUUAAAGGGAUAAGAGAGAGAAACAAAUAAAUUUAAACUAGCCAAAAAAAGCAGCAAUCACAACCGACCAAAUCUGAAAAUUAUUCUCUUCAACAGAUUUGGUUUUAAACCGAGAUUGAAUCAGAUCAAAUCUGAUCACACUAAUCACGGAAGGAUUCGUGAUUUCAACACUCCCCCUCAAGCUGGGCUAUAUAUAUCGAACAAACCCAGCUUGUCAACCAAUUUCUCGAAUGCAGGUUUGAAGAGUCCCUUUGUUAGUAAAUCUGCAGCUUGUUCAGACGAAGGUAUAUAAACCAUACAAAUCAUUCCUUCUUCUAUCUUCUCUUUGAUAAAGUGACGAUCCACCUCAACAUGUUUUUUCCUAUCAUGAUGAACUGGAUUGUGUGAUAUUGCAAUUGCUGCCUUGUUAUCCCAAUAGACUUUCAUGGGUUCAUUCUUCUCAAUUCUGAGUUCUUGUAACAAUAGUUUCAACCACAUUAUUUUACAAAUCCCAUGGGCUACAGCCCUGAAUUCUGCCUCUGCACUGCUUCUUGCUACAACUGCUUGCUUCUUACUCCUCCAGGUCACUAGGUUGCCCCAUACAAAGGUACAAUAUCUAGUGGUUGAUCAUCUAUCUUUUACUGAACCUGCCCAGUCUGCAUCUGUAAAUGUUUCAACAGUCCUUUCCUUAUUCUUUCUGAAAAGUAGACCACGUCCUGGAGUUCCUUUCAAGUAUCUCAAAAUCUGGUAGACAGCAUCCAUAUGUUCUACAAAAGGUGCAUGCAUAAACUGACUUACCACAUUUACAGCGAAGGCGAUGUCAGGUCUAGUAUGAGAAAGAUAAAUGAGCUUUCCUACUAGACGUUGAUACCUUCCUUUAUCAACAGGUGUGCUACCUAGGCAGUCGCCCAACUUCUGAUUUGGAUUUAUAGGAGUAUCAGCAGGUUUACUUCCAAGCAUGCAUGUCUCUUUUAAAAGAUCCAACACAUAUUUUCUCUGUGAUACUGAGAUGCCACUUCUAUUUCUAGCCAUCUCCAUUCCAAGAAAAUAUCGUAAAGAACCCAGAUCUUUUAUUUCAAACUCGGUUGCAAGAGUUCUCUUUAAUCUUUCCAUUUCUUCAUAGUCAUCACCUGUUAAGAUUAUAUCAUCCACAUAAACAAUCAAAACAGUAAUCUUAUCCCCUAUAUACCUGUAGAACAUAGUAUGAUCAGAUUGAGCUUGUUUGUAUCCCUGUUGACAUAUAGUUUUCAUAAAUCUACCAAACCAUGCCCGCGGGGAUUGCUUCAAUCCAUAUAGAGAUUUUCUGAGUCUGCAAACUUUUUCCUGAACUCUAGCUUCAUCAAAACCUGGUGGCAAUUCCAUAUACACUUCUUCCUCUAAGUCUCCAUUUAGGAAAACAUUCUUCACAUCAAGUUGUUGAAGCUUCCAAUCUAGAUUUGCAGCAAGUGAUAGGAGAACCCUUACAGUGUUUAACUUUGCUACUGGUGCAAAGGUCUUCCGAUAAUCUACGCCAUAGGUUUGAGAAAAACCUUUUGCCACUAAUCUUGCUUUGUAGUGCUCAAUCGAGCCAUCUGACUUGUAUUUGAUGGUAAACACCCAUUUGCAGCCAACUGGUGAUUUUUCUUUCAGUUUUUUCACAACUUGCCAAGUCCCAUUUUUUUCUAGUGCUGACAUCUCUUCCUCAAUUGCUUUUUUCUACUCUGGAAUUGACAAGGCCUCCUGAAUAGACUUAGGUAUUUUUGAGGAUGAUAAAUUUGCAACAAGAGUCCUGACCGGUUUAGAUAAGUGGCUAUAGGCAAUGAAAUUGGAGAUCGGAUGUUGUGUGCAAGACCGAACACCUUUCCUUAGAGCUAUAGGAACAUCCAAAUCAUUGCUAGUAGAAUCAAAGUGUGGAGUAGAGUAAUUAUCAUUACCUAAUAUCGGUUCAGAUUCAUGACUUUGUAGUUGGUCCGUGAGGUGUUCUACUAUCUGAGGGUUAUUCCUCCUUGAAUAAACACGGAGCUCUGGUGGUGCUUGGAGUUGCUCAUCUCCCCCUAUCAUUGAACUUUCUUGAUUUGUUGAAGGUUGAGUAGGAGUAACUGGAUUUUUAGACUCGAAUUCAGAAAUGGGGAGAAGAGGAGAGGGGGUAGUUGUUUCCCAAAAAUUUCCAUCACUAUUAUGCUCCCCCUGAGGGAAAUUUUGUGAAAAAAAUGGUUGAUUUUCAAAAAACGCGACAUCCAUUGAGGUAUAAUACUUAUGAGUUUCUGGAGAGUAACACUUAUAUCCCUUUUGAUUAGGUGAAUAGCCUAAGAAAAUACACUUUCUAGCUUUAGGAUGUAAUUUGGUUCUUUCAUAAUCAUAAAUGUGAGUAAAUGAAGUACAUCCAAACACUUUUAAAGGUAAUGACACGAUAGCUCUAUUUUUCGGGUAAGUGUUUAGGAAGACAUUUAGAGGGGUUUCAUAAUUAUGAACUCUGGUUGGCAUCCUGUUUAUUAGGUAACAAGCAGUAAGUACUGCAUCCCCCCAAAAAUAUUUUGGAACUUUGCUUGUAAACAUAAAGGCUCUAGCUGUUUCGAGAAGGUGACGAUUUUUCCUUUCGGCAAUCCCAUUUUGUUGUGGGGUUAUAAUACAUGAGCUUUGAUGAAUAAUCCCUUUUUCUAGAAGAAAUUUCCCUAAGAUAAGAUUGAAAUACUCACGCCCAUUGUCUGUUCGAAGGAUUUUUAUACUUGUAUCAUAAUGGGUUUUUAUCAUGGAAUGAAAGUUUUUAAAAACAUCCUCAGCUUCUGACUUUUCCUUUAAAAGAUAAACCCAACAUAAUCUUAUAUGAUCAUCAGUAAAUGUUAUGAACCACCUUUUUCCCAUUAUGUGUUUAAUCUUAGACGGACCCAAAUGUCACUAUGAAUCAAGGUAAAAGGAGAAGAUGCCUUAUAGUUAUGAGAUGGAAAUGAAGAAUGUGAAUGUUUAGCAAUUUGACAAAUAUCACAUUGAAAUAAAUCUGUAUUACGAAACAAAGUUGGAAACAAAUUCUUUAAAUACGAAAAAUUUGGAUAACCUAGCCUACGAUGGCAUAACAUUAUUUGUUGUUCUUUAGGAAUAGACUCACAACUCAUGGUUUGAGCUUGUUUAUUCAAGAUGGCUUCUUCUUCGAAAUAGUAUAGUCCCUCACGUUCUUUAGCAUUGCCAAUCCUCUUCCCCGAAAUCAAGUCCUGAAAAAAGCACAUAGACUCAGUAAAAUGAACACCACAUUUUAAAUCUCUAGUCAAUUUACUAAUGGAAAGAAGAUUGCAAGUUAAAUUAGGGACAUGUAAAACAGAGCGCAAAUCAAUAGAUGGACUAAUCUUAAUAGUCCCAACUCCGGCAACAGUUGAAAGAGAUCCAUCUGCAAUUUUUACUUUGAAAUUUCCUUAACUUGGUGAAUAGGAACAAAACAAUCUUUCCCACCCAGUCAUGUGAUUCGUGGCCCCUGAGUCAAUAACCCAAGGUUCAAUUUUGCUGCUCUUACGUGCUGAAAUAAAAUUGCCUCGUUGAGCAAGUAAAGAACCCGAAGAAGUGGCUGCUGCAGGGGCAAGAGUGAGCAAUUUGUACAACUGCUCUAAUUGAUCCUUGGUAAGGGAAAGCUGCAUGUUUUCAACAGAAGGUCUAGGCAGUGAACCCUCGGUUGAACUCUGAUAGCUAGCAGUGUCUCAAGGAUUCGAUCUUGUGUCCUCACGAUACCCCUGUCUGCUGUCUUCUUGGUUACCUUGCCUUGCAGGCCGUCCAUGCAGUUUCCAGUGCUUGUCCUUGGUGUGAUUUGGUUUCUUACAAUAAUCACACCAAACAUUGCUUCUCCUAUUUAGUCGAAAUGUCUCCUGUCCAUGAGCAGCAAGUGCUGAAGUUUCAGUCAGCAGGUUCUUUGAUCCCCCGAGCAUGACUCGUUUUCGGCUAGCCUCCCUGUGUACUUCAGCAAAGAUCUCAGCAAUCAAUGGUGGGGGCUUUAUACCAAGCAGGCGACCUCGUACCUCAUCUAACUCCGGAUUCAACCGAGCCAAGAAGUCAUAAAUCCUCUCCUUCUCGAUUUGUUUUCUGUAUUUCUCAACAUCUCCAGGUGUUUCCCAAUCAAUUUGAACAAACAAAUCAAUUUCCUUCCAUAGCCUUGUGAGAGCAUUGUAAUACUGGGUAACAUCUUGUUCUCCUUGUCGUAACUCAUGUGCUCUAUUCCGAAGCUCAAACAAUUGAGCCGAAUUUUCAAGAUCGGAGAAUGUCAUAGUUAGGGCAUCCCAAAGCUCCUUGGCUGUAGCAUGGUAUAGGUGAGAUUCCCUAAUGUCCUCCUCCAUAGAAUUAACAAUCCAUGCCAUUACCAUGGAAUUUUGAGCAUCCCAGGUUGCAUAGGCUGCAUCUCCUUCAGCCGGUUGCUUUGUUGCUUCCGUAAUGUAGCCAAGCCGUCCACGUCCUCAGAUAACCAUUAAAGCGGAAUGGGACCAUUGGAGAAAAUUGGUGCUAUUGAGACGGGUUGUGGUGAUCUGUAGAGGUGAGUUUUCUGGAAAGUUUGCAGACGGCAUAUUGACGGUGGUUGUAGUGGGUGCGCUUGUAGGGUUGGGUCCAGAAGUCUCUGUAGAGCCUCUGGACUCCUCAUCUCUGCGCGCACCGGUCAUGGCUGAUUUAGCCAUUCCUCUAUCUCAAACAACCCUUGGCUCUGAUACCAUGAAACGGGGGAGGAGACGACGGAAUAGGAACACUACAAUUGGAUGAACAAAGAUUGGAAUACAUGUUAUCUCAUUCCUCUUUGAUAAUACAAAUAUUUAUAGAAUCUGAUCAUAAAACAGAUCCCUUUAUUCUUGGAAACUACAAGCUAAAUUAAAGGGAUAAGAGAGAGAAACAAAUAAAUUUAAACUAGCCAAAAAAAGCAGCAAUCACAACCGACCAAAUCUGAAAAUUAUUCUCUUCAACAGAUUUGGUUUUAAACCGAGAUUGAAUCAGAUCAAAUCUGA